rnacentral:rRNA from 1 species
UGAGGAAUAUUGGUCAAUGGGCGCAAGCCUGAACCAGCAUCCCGCGGGAAGGAAGGAUGCGCGAUGCGGCGUAAACUUCUUUUCCAGGGGAAUAAAAUUUUGUACGAGUACGGAAUUGAAGGUACCCUGGGAAUAAGCAUCGGCUAACUCCGUUCCAGCAGCCGCGGUAAUACGGAGGAUGCGAGCGUUAUCCUGAUUUAUUGGGUUUAAAGGGUGCGUAGGCGGAUUGAUAAGUCAGUGGUGAAAACCUGCAGCUUAACUGUAGACUUGCCAUUGAUACUGUCAGUCUUGAGUAUGGUCAAGGUAGGCGGAAUGUGUAAUGUAGCGGUGAAAUGCUUAGAUAUUACACAGAACACCGAUUGCGAAGGCAGCUUGCUGGGCCAUUACUGACGCUGAUGCACGAAAGCGUGGGGAUCGAACA